rnacentral:rRNA from 1 species
CCUACGGGGGGCAGCAGUGAGGAAUAUUGGUCAAUGGACGAGAGUCUGAACCAGCCAAGUAGCGUGAAGGAUGACUGCCCUAUGGGUUGUAAACUUCUUUUAUAUGGGAAUAAAAUGUUCCACGUGUGGGAUUUUGGAUGUACCAUAGGAAUAAGGAUCGGCUAACUCCGUGCCAGCAGCAGCGGUAAUACGGAGGAUCCGAGCGUUAUCCGGAUUUAAUGGGUGUAAAGGGAGCGUGGGUGGAUUGUUAAGUCAGUUGUGAAAGUCUGGGGCUCAAACGUGAAAUUGCAGUUGAAACUGGCAGUCUGGAGUGCAGUAGAGGUGGGGGGAAUUCGUGGUGUAGCGGUGAAAUGCUUAGAUAUCACGAAGAAAUCCGAUUGCGAAGGCAGCUCACUGGACUGCAACUGACACUGAGGCUCGAAAGUGUGGGUAUCAAACAGGAUUAGAUACCCUGGUAGUC